AAGAAACAAGCUAGCGCCUUUCAAAAGGAUAAUAAGAGAACCACAAGGCCCAAUCACAGAGCAAUGGACGAACAAGAUCUUUAAAAAAAAACUCCUUGCUUUUGUUUCUAUUUCACUGAUCUAAAUUCAAUUUCUCAGUUGCCGAAAACUUGAAAUAAUGCUUAUGGUAGAACCUGCCGCCGUUACCGUCAGUUUCCCCGCCGUUAACUUCAACCGCACCUCUCGACGGUUAUCUCACUCGGCCAGCUUCUUAAUUCCUAGGAAUAAGUUUAGAAGGUCGAGGACGGAGCAUUGUGUUGGAAGAAUAAGAACAGGUAAGGAAAAAUGUGGAAUUAAAGCAAGUGCGAGAGAUCAGCCAUCUGGACCGGUGAAACAGAAUGCGAAGCCCUCGAGGUAUCAUCCAUCUGAAGACAUUUCGGAUUCGGAAAUUGGAGAGAAUGAGGAAGCUCAACUUACGCCAGCUGAAACUUCUAGAACAAUCAUUGAAGUAAACAGCAAAGCAACACUCAUGUUUUCAGGCGUGGUCAACAAUGAAGUGCAUGAGAACAUUUUCUGGCCAGACUUGCCUUACAUAACUGAUGAACUUGGAAACAUCUACUUUCAAGUAAAGAAUGAAGAAGACAUCCUGCAAACUCUGACAGCUGAAGAAAAUGUUGUGCAAGUCAUUAUAGGCCUAGAUACUGCCGAAAUGCUAAGUGAGCUAGAGUCAUAUGGUCAAUCUGAAGUUGAUUAUGGCAUAGACAAAUUUGGCGAUGAGGACAGUGAUAUUGAUGACGAAGAUGACCUCGAUGAAGAUGACACUGAUGAUGAUGAAGAUGAUAAUGACUAUGACAAGGAUUGGGUUGCCAUUCUUGACGAUGAAGAUGAGGAUGGGGAUUCUGAUGAGUCAUUGGGGGACUGGGCUAAAUUAGAAACCAUGCGCUCUUCUCAUCCAAUGUAUUUUGCCAAAAAGAUUUCUGAGGUUGUGACAGAUGACCCUGUUGAUUUUAUGGACCAGCCUCCUGCAGGUCUUGCUAUACAAGGCCUUCUAAGGCCAUCCUUCCUCGAGGAGCACACUACUAUUCAAAAGCAGAUAUCCGAAGAUAGAUUGAGUGACACUGACGUAAAUCAGAUGGAAAAUGAUGACGACCACAAAGAAAAGGGUGGUAUUCAAAUAAAUGGCCACAAAUAUGAGAGUGGAUCUUCACAAGAUAGUUCAAGCUGGGAAGAAUUGGAGAAGGAUGAGAACCUAGGAAAUGGAACUUCAUUUUACAAGCUAGAGAUGAUCAAAAUUCAGUUAAUUUCUUCCAAUGGGAAUCAGAUCUUUGUUGAGUUAGAUAAUUUUAGGAGAGCUAGACCUGAUGCAAUAGCACAUUCAGCUGCCAAAAUAAUAUCUCGGCUUAAAGCUGCUGGAGAGAAGACUACGCAGGCUCUUAGAUCUCUCUGUUGGAGAUGCAAGGGAAUUCAGGUGGAGUUUCUUCUGGCAGGAGGUGUCUCUGAUUGGUGUGGACAGCCUUGGUUUUGACUUGAGAGUUUGCUCUGGGACACAGGUCCAAACCCUACGGUUUUCAUUUAGAAAGCGGGCUCUAUCUAUGGGUGAUAGGAGUUAGACACCACCGUUGAUGUGCACGACCACCUCAUCUAAAAGUUUAAUCUGUUAGAGAGUCAUAAUUAUGUCUUGCAUGCCCUCACAUGCAUGCCUAAUUCUUUGUUAUUGGCCAAAGACGUGUGAAUUUCUUUUCAAUGAAGAGUGGCGGUAAGAAACAUGACCAGUAAGGAUUCAUAUAUCGGACCCCAAAUUGUUUGGGACUGAGGCAUAGUUGUUGUUGAAGGGUGGAAGUGAAACGUGAACGUAAGACUUUUGCAUGCUCUGAUGCGCGAAGGUGAAGUAUGUGAACACUUUAUUUAAACCUUAACCAAUUAGAGAGGGCACACUUAUGUUUGCUCAAUUAUGUCUUCAACAGCUAGAAGUUGAAAUAUAAUGUGAAACCAAUUAAGCGGCAUCCUAUGUGAAAAUUUGAAAACCCAGAUUGAGUAGAGAAAAGGGAUAUGCAACCUGCACAUACAUUUCUCAUAUUUGUUCGUCUUAAAUCCUAAAACCUUCUAGGUUAUUGGGAUCAUAUGUUCUACUACCGGAGGUAGUCCGUUUUUGUUCUUAUUUCUUCCGGGCAAGAGAAAGGUCAACCUUGAAGAAAUAUGGUGUGUUUGGUAUAAAGCAAAAUUCAUGGGAAAAUGAGUGAUCAUCUCACAUAAUGGUGUUUGGUAGGUAAAGCAAAAAUAUUUUCAAAAUAUAUAACGUCACAUAAC